rnacentral:rRNA from 1 species
GAUGAACGCUGGCGGCGUGCCUAAUACAUGCAAGUCGAGCGAACAGAUGAGGAGCUUGCUCCUCUGACGUUAGCGGCGGACGGGUGAGUAACACGUGGAUAACCUACCUAUAAGACUGGGAUAACUUCGGGAAACCGGAGCUAAUACCGGAUAAUAUAUUGAACCGCAUGGUUCAAUAGUGAGAGACGGUUUUGCUGUCACUUAUAGAUGGAUCCGCGCCGCAUUAGCUAGUUGGUAAGGUAACGGCUUACCAAGGCAACGAUGCGUAGCCGACCUGAGAGGGUGAUCGGCCACACUGGAACUGAGACACGGUCCAGACUCCUACGGGAGGCAGCAGUAGGGAAUCUUCCGCAAUGGGCGAAAGCCUGACGGAGCAACGCCGCGUGAGUGAUGAAGGUCUUCGGAUCGUAAAACUCUGUUAUUAGGGAAGAACAAAUGUGUAAGUAACUAUGCACGUCCUGACGGUACCUAAUCAGAAAGCCACGGCUAACUACGUG